rnacentral:rRNA from 1 species
AACGUAGGACACAAGCGUUAUCCGGAGUUACUGGGCGUAAAGAGCGCGUAGGCGGUCUGAUAAGUUCGCUAUGAAAGCACCUGGCUAAACUGGGUGAGGCUGGCGGAUACUGUCAGGCUAGAGUGAGACAGAGGCAGAUGGAAUUCCGCGUGUAGUGGUGAAAUGCGUAGAGAUGCGGAGGAACACCAGUGGCGAAGGCGGUCUGCUGGGUCUCAACUGACGCUGAGGCGCGAAAGCGUGGGGAGCGAACGGGAUUAGAAACCCCAGUAGUCC